AGCAGCCGCCGCGGUAAUACGUAGGCGGCAAGCGUUGUCCGGAAUUAUUGGGCGUAAAGGGCUCGCAGGCGGUUUCUUAAGUCUGAUGUGAAAGCCCCCGGCUCAACCGGGGAGGGUCAUUGGAAACUGGGAAACUUGAGUGCAGAAGAGGAGAGUGGAAUUCCACGUGUAGCGGUGAAAUGCGUAGAGAUGUGGAGGAACAUCAGUGGCGAAGGCGACUCUCUGGUCUGUAACUGACGCUGAGGAGCGAAAGCGUGGGGAGCGAACAGGAUUAGAUACCCCUGUAGUCCCUGUCUCUUAUAC
rnacentral:rRNA from 1 species